AUGCACUCACCUGACCAGGUGGGAUUCUCUCUGCAGAGAGACCGAGUACCACAGUAGCCCCGCCCACCACAGAAGCCCCGCCCCCUGCCUCAGCUCCUCUUCCUCUUGUGUUGAGAGUGUGUCUCCACCUGGUAGUGAUCAGUCCGUUCAUCAUCUCCACUCUCCUUCUGGUGUCUUUAUGUCCACAAAGAGCCUCAGGAAGUGACCUGUCUGUCUCCAUGGUGAUGACCCAGCACUCACAUGCUGAGCAGGGAUUGGCUGAUGACUAUGAUGACAUCAUCACAUCUGGAACCACAGAGCAUCAAUUCUGAACUUAGAGUCUCAUUGUGUAGCCAAUACUGUCAACUUUUUUGUUUUAAUUUCCUUUUUUUUGUUUGUUUUGAAGUUGUUGUGCUUCGUACAUUAAAUCUAAAUUUCAAAUUAAA